rnacentral:lncRNA from 7 species
CAGGUUGAGAUUGGUCAUACUUGAAAGUGAGAACGUGAUUAACUAGAAGAAUCCUUAACCACAGUGCCAUGACUAAGCUUGUCUUUGAAGACAGAAGAGUCCUGAGACAACAUGCAGUUAAUUAGCAUGCCUAGCUGGCCUGCAGAAACGCUGUGUUACAAUGGCUGGUGUGGGUGUUGAUAAGUGCAUCAAUGUGACUGUCUGGAGCAAGUCUGCCUGUCCUGUGAGGCUGGACAGACCAGCAGAAUGAAAAGGAAGACAAUGUUUAGUGAAUGAAGUGGGAGCUGGACCUGGAUAGAUGAACAGAGCUCACUGUUCCAGAAAUGCUGGCAGUAUCUUCCAUCAGUUGCCAGGAAUGAGGACGACUUGCAGAGCUGCCAGCUCAGUCCGGUUGGAGGGCUCGUGGCUACCACAGCUCUCAAGUUCCGGUUAUUAGUUUCUCCUUUAACUUCUGGAAAAUAACAACAGAUGGAUUACUUGUUUAGAACACACAAGGAAGCCAACAGUAGAGCAGAGCCAACUGUUCUGGUAUACUAAUCAUUCCCUAAUGAUCCAUUAGUCCUGCGACUGAUGUGGCUUUGUGUUGUCGAGCAGGAAAUUACAAAACACAGUCCAACAUAUGAGUGGUGGAGCUUUCUUGCCGUCUGUUCUGGAGCGCAGAGGCCAGGAUUUCCCCAAACAUUUUUUGUUUAAACAAAAUAUAAUUACAAAAUUAAACAGUUGAGCUUAAAAUGAAUAUUUUCUGUAUGUUCUCUGAGAGAGAAGGAAACAAGGGUAAUUCAAAAUGUGAUAAUAAAAUUAGAUUUAAAUCAAUUUUUCAAAAAUACCCGAAUGUGUUAGAAGGUUAUUUCUCAUUUUCAAAAGUGAUGUAUAUAUAUAUUCCAGUACUCUCAAAUAUUCCAGUUAAGGGACUAUCUGCAUGUUUAGGUGUCCACACAAAUCUGAAAAUCAGUGAUGCUACUUUAACAUUUGUUGAAAGACUGUAUGACUGAUAUUUUCUGACAGAAGGUUUUUUUCUAUCAGAACUCAGACAUUUUUUGGAAGCAUGUCCCUGUCUCAGAAUUCUUGUUUAGAUGGAAGCCCAUUGAAAUAAAAUAUCCCAUUGGCUUUCUAUUUUGAUGUUUAAAGAACAAAGUGCUUUGACUUUUGCUUCAAAACAAACAAUGCUUUUCUUUUUUGAAAGGCUGCAUUUUCUUUACUAAGAAGGUUGAAAGGAAUAUAAAUGAGUUGAUAACAUUUUAAUUAGCCUAAAAGAAAAUCUUAGUCUACCAAAAAUAAAAUUUCGUCUGCAGUAUUAGUUACAAAUGGGGCUCAGAUUUCUUCUCUGAACUGCAUAAAGAUUUCAGAUUCAUUUUGCUUUCUGUAAAACUGAAAAGUCUAGUUCUCCUCUCAGUCAAUGUGAAAAUACCAUCUUUUGAAAAUUUAAACCAAACUUGAGAUUUUUCUUGUGCUAUAUUCCCAGUCAGUAACAGGAGGUUUAGGUUUCCUGAUUCUGUUUUCUGAAUGGUUUUUGUAAGCUUUAGAAUCUAUUAAUAAUGUUUAAAACUACAUCUUAUUACCAUUUCUGUUUUGCUCUGUGCAUCUUGUUUUUCCGCAGCAGAACGUAGCUACAGUGAAAGAAAUUAAAGCAAGACCUUGUGUGAAGUUCCAGAAAGCUCAUAGUUUUCCCCUUUUAUCCUCAUAUUUUGUUUCUCUGGUCUUGUGAGGCAGAUAUUUGUCUACAACUACAAGCAUAAGCUGAACCUUAAGCUAACAAAGAUAAGAAUUUGUAUUGAGAAGGCAAAAUUUCUUACAUUAGUUUUUCUGGAGGAAAAAGUAAAAGACAUAGUGACAGGAACAAUUAAAACAGUGAGAAUCUCACUUCAUAGGGAGAAAUAUCCGUAGGAGUAUGAAAACAAACUAAUUAAGUUGCGAUAAACACAUUAUAUUUUUACGGUAAUGAAAAUAUUUUUAUUUAUGAACAUUAGAAAAAAUACUUCAGAAUAUAGCAUGGCUAUUUUCUUAAUUGAAUUUUGCAUGCUUUAUUUCAGCUGCAGUUAAUAUUAAGAUCUGAUUAGGACUUGGCAAUGAACAAUUUAAAGUUUUUGUAUAGUUUUGUUUCUUCAGUGGAAGUUAUUUUUGUUUAAAUUAAGGAAAAAUCUAAGAUUAUACACAUAAAUGAUGAUUGCAAAGACCACCAUGAUAUUUCAUGCUGUAGGUUGCACUGGAGGUUGGUGUUUGCCCCUCCUUUUUCUUGUGCCAUAAUUUAGUAAGAUUUCUAGUAUGGAAAAUUAUUCCUAUGAUUGUAUUAAAAGGAGUUAAAC